CGGCCGCAAGGUUGAACUCAAAGGAAUUGACGGGACCCGCACAGCGGUGGAUGAUGUGGUUUAAUUGGAUGCAACGCGAAAACCUUACCCACCUUUGACAUGGCAGGAAGUUUCCAGAGAUGGAUUCGUGCCCGAAAGGGAACCUGCACACAGGUGCUGCAUGGCUGUCGUCAGCUCGUGUCGUGAGAUGUUGGGUUAAGUCCCGCAACGAGCGCAACCCUUGCCAUUAGUUGCUACGAAAGGGCACUCUAAUGGGACUGCCGGUGACAAACCGGAGGAAGGUGGGGAUGACGUCAAGUCCUCAUGGCCCUUAUAGGUGGGGCUACACACGUCAUACAAUGGCUGGUACAGAGGGUUGCCAACCCGCGAGGGGGAGCUAAUCCCAUAAAGCCAGUCGUAGUCCGGAUCGCAGUCUGCAACUCGACUGCGUGAAGUCGGAAUCGCUAGUAAUCGCGGAUCAGAAUGUCGCGGUGAAUACGUUCCCGGGUCUUGUACACACCGCCCGUCACACCAUGGGAGCGGGUUCUGCCAGAAGUAGGUUAGNNUUUNUUCAUGGAUCANAU
rnacentral:rRNA from 1 species